GAUAAGGCGGGUGGGCUACCGGAGGUCGGCAGAAAGCAUCAGGAUCCGACCGUUGGUUGGGAGGCCUGUGGUGGCGGGAGUAAUGAGUAUUCGAAAAUUGGCGCCACAACGUGGCGGGAACUUUCCGCAGUUCCUUUUCUUCGCAUUCUCUGCAAUCUCUCAAGCAUUUCUCGGAUUGAUUUGUUUGCGACUGCCGCGGCCGAUUUCUCCCCGCCGACGCACUUGUAUUGUGGAUUAGCUUGCGAGGCGUUGAAAAUCGAUAGUGCGGAUUGGCGGUCAGUCGUAGUCCAUGAUGGGCGGAAGGGAAGUACUGUGUCUUACUUUAAGACCUUAGGGCAUCGGAUUGGUCAUUGUGAAAGACAGGGAGAUGGUUUUGUAGGGAGGUUGAGUUCUGCUGGUUUCAGGGAGGAAAUGGGAGGUGGAGUUACUGGAAACGUUCAAGCCCCCUCUGCUUCGAAGUUAGUAGAGCCCCUGCUAGGAUUGAAUUGAUGAAAGGAUGAAUUAACUCUGAUGUUGUCUUAA